GGCUUGUGAAACACCAAGUCUUUAUUGAUUGCAAAUAUGAACUUGUCGUUCCAUGUGGGGUUCUUGUUUCCGGCAUAGUCAACCCUUGAAGUAAGCUUUUUUUGCGGGCUAAUCCAUGCAACCACGUAGGUUUUGAUGCUUGAUUCUUUGUAUGAAGGCAAAUCUUGUGCAGAGAUGAGAUUGAUCUCAAUAAUUGUUGGUUUAGGUGGAGUUGCCAUGGCCAUAAACAUGACCAUGACAAAAGAAAACAAA